GAUGAACGCUGGCGGCGUGCCUAACACAUGCAAGUCGAGCGAGUGAAUCUCCUUCGGGAGUGAAGCUAGCGGCGGACGGGUGAGUAACACGUGGGCAACCUGCCUCAUAGAGGGGAAUAGCCUUUCGAAAGGAAGAUUAGUACCGCAUAAGAUUGUAGCUUCGCAUGAAGUAGCAAUUAAAGGAGCAAUCCGCUAUGAGAUGGGCCCGCGGCGCAUUAGCUAGUUGGUGAGGUAACGGCUCACCAAGGCGACGAUGCGUAGCCGUCCUGAGAGGGUGAUCGGCCACAUUGGGACUGAGACACGGCCCAGACUCCUACGGGAGGCAGCAGUGGGGAAUAUUGCACAAUGGGGGAAACCCUGAUGCAGCAACGCCGCGUGAGUGAUGACGGCCUUCGGGUUGUAAAGCUCUGUCUUCAGGGACGAUAAUGACGGUACCUGAGGAGGAAGCCACGGCUAACUACGUGCCAGCAGCCGCCGUAA
rnacentral:rRNA from 1 species